AUCUGUUUCACUGGCUCUCUGCCCUUUCACUACUUUUUGCUUGGUUAUGUCAUCACUCCAUCUCUUCGAUGUUUGAUCAUUUCCUUCGUUCCUUCUUUCCCGUGCCUCUGCCCCGGCUCCACCCCUCCUCAGGCUCUACCUCCGUUUUUUCUGUCUCUCCUCAGGGCUCCAGAGGAUGACAUUUAACUAAAGAACAGAUGGAGGCCCCCUGCCUUCCCCAAACCCUCCCGACACACUGCUGGACGCUGAUUCUUCCUCAUUACUGCCGGAUGACGCCGUGAUCUCGUAACAGAAUUGGAUCUGGGAAACGAUGACAGGUUUAGAGAUGCAUAAAUAACGGAUUGUGCCAGGCCAGCGCCCACACAUGAAAUGUGUUUAAGGAAUGCCAAACCACAAGGCUGCUGAGCAGAAGGCGAAAGGAGAGCGAAGGAAUUCACCGGAAAUUUCCACCCGAGACACUCAAGACCCGUAGCUAUAACAGGAACCUAAAUAAACCUUCUCAAGGGCAGAAGAGUGGGUGGUUAUGGGAGUUUUGUUGUAACCAAACUGAGAUGCUUUAAACUCAGAGCUUUUAUAAUCUUCGACACGCUCUUACACAAGUACGUAACACAUGUAGAAAGAGGAGGAGACGCUUCCCCUGUCCGUGUUUGCUCAUCUUCCUCCGAACGUGUUAACGCUUUAACAUGAAACGCUAACGGCACCAAUUUACACAGUCUCUC